UGCCUUUGCACCAGUUUUUACUGUUAUGUUGAAGCUAUAAUCGUACGGCCGCAGUUAGGUUACCCGAACUCUGUUUUUGAUGUAUGACCUAUGGAUUCAAAGACGAAGAAGUCUACUUUUCAAUGGUUUAAGUGUCACCCUGGAAUUCAUGUUGUUUAAUUAGAUAUGGCCAAAAUAAGACAGGCUGGUUGUGGUUGUCAUUCCUGUUUUGGGAGUUUUGUUGCGUUGGUCUGUUUGGUUGAGAUUGUACACUUGUGGGUCUUUAUAUUUGAUAUUUUUGGGUGUGUUGGAGUACCUUGGAGUAUGGAAGAGGUGUGUGAGGUCUCCCGGGUAUGUGGGUACUCCCAGACACCUCUAGAGAUUUUGGUGACUUUAUGUAAUGUUUGCCCCAUUAGCUAGUGUAGAAGGCAUGUUAUGAUUUGUUAGUCUAGCAUUUGGUUUAACAUUCCUAGAUGUUCAUAUGCUAAUAUGGGUUAACUUGUGGCUAGGUAACGAGCCGGUCUUUUAGGAGGUGCCGAAACCGUAAGUUUGGCAUACUCCAGUCGAAUGAAAGGUAGCAGGUGGCUUAGAGUGGGUCCACUACUGGUCAACGCUUUGGAGAGUGCUGAGACUAGCGUCGGGUGAUGUCUUUGGUUAGAUUGUUGCGUAGCUGAUUCGUUUAAAAGCUAACCUAAAUGUUAUGUAAUUAAUUGGAGAAAGUGAUAUUUAUUAUAACUUGUGAGUUGAGGUUUUGGCGUUGACUUGGUUGUAUUUUAAGUGAGAAGUCUUCCGCUAAUUUGUAUUCUGAUUGGUUGUA